ACCAGAGAUCCCUACUUCCUUAAUUAGAGAUCUGGCUUUGAAGGUCAGACUGGUCUAUUUAGAUGACAUGCAAUACCUGCAUAAGGAGUGUGAUUGCUCAAGGCGGAAUAUUUUCCAAAGCAAGGUCUCAGUUGAGCAAUAUCAGGAGGGAUUUACAUGCGGGUCUCCACCUAGGUUAUCCAUUAAAACUUAAGUUGGCAAUAAAUCUAAGUAUGAUGGUCGAUUCAGGCUCAACAGCAAAACGAGGACCUGUUGUUGAUGUGCUCGCAGAGAAAGAUGAUGAUGGCGGAUGUGUUAGUGGAGAGUGGAAAAGUGAAGACGGCAAACUGAGCUGCGGGUAUUCAAGUUUCAGGGGAAAGAGAGCAACCAUGGAGGAUUUUUAUGAUAUUAAACAUACUAAGAUUGAUGGGCAAACAGUCUGCAUGUUUGGAAUCUUUGAUGGUCAUGGUGGUUCCCAUGCUGCUGAGUAUUUGAAGGAGCACCUAUUUGAUAAUCUGAUGAAGCGUCCACAAUUCAUGGAAAAUCCCAAAUUGGCAAUAAGUGAAACAUAUCAACAGACUGAUGUGGACUUUUUGGACUCUGAAAAGGAUACAUAUCGUGAUGAUGGUUCUACUGCUUCAACAGCAGUAUUAGUUGGUAACCAUCUAUAUGUUGCCAAUGUUGGAGAUUCUCGAACUGUGAUAUCAAAAGCUGGAAAAGCAAUUCCUCUCUCUGAAGAUCAUAA
rnacentral:misc_RNA from 1 species